rnacentral:rRNA from 1 species
GACGAACGCUGGCGGCGUGCCUAAUACAUGCAAGUAGAACGCUGAAGGAGGAGCUUGCUUCUCUGGAUGAGUUGCGAACGGGUGAGUAACGCGUAGGUAACCUGCCUGGUAGCGGGGGAUAACUAUUGGAAACGAUAGCUAAUACCGCAUAAGAGUAGAUGUCGCAUGACAUUUGCUUAAAAGGUGCAAUUGCAUCACUACCAGAUGGACCUGCGUUGUAUUAGCUAGUUGGUGAGGUAACGGCUCACCAAGGCAACGAUACAUAGCCGACCUGAGAGGGGGAUCGGCCACACUGGGACUGAGACACGGCCCAGACUCCUACGGGAGGCAGCAGUAGGGAAUCUUCGGCAAUGGACGGAAGUCUGACCGAGCAACGCCGCGUGAGUGAAGAAGGUUUUCGGAUCGUAAAGCUCGGUUGUAAGAGAAGAACGAGUGUGAGAGUGGAAAGUUCACACUGUGACGGUAUCUUACCAGAAAGAGACGGCUAACUACGUG